rnacentral:rRNA from 1 species
UACGUAGGAUGCAAGCGUUGUUCGGAAUUACUGGGCGUAAAGAGUACGUAGGCGGUAAGAUAAGUCUGAUAUUAAAUUUCGGAGCUCAACUCCGGGUCUGUAUCGGAAACUGUAUUACUAGAGUGCAAUAGAGGAAGUCGGAAUUCUCAGUGUAGCGGUGAAAUGCGUAGAUAUUGGGAAGAACACCAGUGGCGAAAGCGGACUUCUGGGGUUGUUACUGACGCUGAGGUACGAAAGCGUGGGGAGCAAACAGG